rnacentral:rRNA from 1 species
GACGAACGCUGGCGGCGUGCUUAACACAUGCAAGUCGAACGGAAAGGCCCUGCUUUUGUGGGGUGCUCGAGUGGCGAACGGGUGAGUAACACGUGAGUAACCUGCCCUUGACUUUGGGAUAACUUCAGGAAACUGGGGCUAAUACCGGAUAGGAGCUCCUGCUGCAUGGUGGGGGUUGGAAAGUUUCGGCGGUUGGGGAUGGACUCGCGGCUUAUCAGCUUGUUGGUGGGGUAGUGGCUUACCAAGGCAUUGACGGGUAGCCGGACUGAGAGGGUGACCGGCCACAUUGGGACUGAGAUACGGCCAAGACUCCUACGGGAGGCAGGAGUGGGGAAUAGUGCACAAUGGGCGGAAGCCGGAUGCAGCAACGCCGGGUGCGGGAUGACGGCCUUCGGGUUGUAAACCGCUUUCGCCUGUGACGAAGCGUGAGUGACGGUAAUGGGUAAAGAAGCACCGGCUAACUACGUG